GUUCUUCAUUCACAUAGAUACAAAGCUCUUAGACGAAAUACCUUACCUAUAGAUAUGGCUGCUCAAACUUCUUAUGCUUGCAUCCUGCUUCUUGCUCUUGUUCUUUUAGCGGCAGGGAAUACUCAUGCACGAGAACUUACUUGCAAAAAGUUUAUACCCAAUGUAUGUCCUAAGGAUGAUCUUGAAACCUGUCCGGCAGUUUGCAAGGAGAAGUUCGAUGGCAUAGGAUACUGUGAUUAUGUUGACAUAGAUUUGCCCUUCAUUUGUAUUUGUGUUACCCAUCAGUGCACUUUUCCUCCCGCUGAAAAGUUCGCACCAUAGUGUCUUCAGUUAGGCAUGGCCACGGUUCUAGAACCAACUGUUAGAACCAGAACUGCAUAGUUCUGAUUUUGGUUCCUUAUAGUUCUGGUUCUGGUUUUCGGUUCCGUAUGGUUAUAUACAAUUUUAUUUAAUUCCUUA